rnacentral:rRNA from 1 species
GACGAACGCUGGCGGCGUGCUUAACACAUGCAAGUCGAGCGGAGCGGCGAACGGGUGAGUAACGCGUGAGUAACUGCCCCCCUCUCUGGGAUACCAGUUGGAAACGGCUGCUCAUACCGGCUAGUGGGGGAUGACUCGCGUCCUAUCGGCUUGUUGGUGGGGUAGUGGCCUACCAAGGCGACGACGGGUGGCCGGCCUGGGCGGGCGAACGGCCACAAUGGGCUGAGAGAGGGACCAAAAUCCUACGGGAGGCAGCAGUGGGGAAUAUUGCACAAUGGGGGAAACCCUGAUGCAGCAACGCGCGUGCGUGAUGCCGGGCUUCGGGUUGUAAACCGCGUUCAGACAUGACGCGGUAGCUACAGAAGAAGCACCGGCUAACUACGUGCCAGCAGCCGCGGUAAUUC